rnacentral:rRNA from 1 species
AGAGUUUGAUCCUGGCUCAGGACGAACGCUGGCGGCGUGCUUAACACAUGCAAGUCGAACGGAAAGGCCCUUUCGGGGGUGCUCGAGUGGCGAACGGGUGAGUAACACGUGGGUGAUCUGCCCUGCACUUCGGGAUAAGCCUGGGAAACUGGGUCUAAUACCGGAUAGGACUACGAAUCGCAUGGUUUGCGGUGGAAAGCUUUUGCGGUGUGGGAUGGGCCCGCGGCCUAUCAGCUUGUUGGUGGGGUGAUGGCCUACCAAGGCGACGACGGGUAGCCGGCCUGAGAGGGUGUCCGGCCACACUGGGACUGAGAUACGGCCCAGACUCCUACGGGAGGCAGCAGUGGGGAAUAUUGCACAAUGGGCGCAAGCCUGAUGCAGCGACGCCGCGUGAGGGAUGACGGCCUUCGGGUUGUAAA